UGUUGGCUGGCUUCUCCUGCUUCGAAUUUGCUUCGACUCAUUUUUGCUUUUUACUCUUGUUCUUGCAGAAAUCUCCUAGAUACGUGGCUAGCGACAAGGAUUCCCACGGUCAAAUACUUGAAUCAGGCACUUGCUGGCUUCAAUCUACUAUAUACAAAUAAUGCAUCAGAUAUGAGAAUAAGAGCCAUUAUAUGACACAAUUUCCUCAUAUCCUUGCAAACCACAU
rnacentral:lncRNA from 1 species